rnacentral:tRNA from 1 species
UUAAUUGAAACCAAAAAGAGGUAUAUCACUGUUAAUGAUAUCAAUGAAUGAUUACAUUCCAAUUAAG